rnacentral:rRNA from 1 species
AGUGAACGCUGGCGGUAGGCCUAACACAUGCAAGUCGAACGGCAGCACAGUAAGAGCUUGCUCUUACGGGUGGCGAGUGGCGGACGGGUGAGGAAUACAUCGGAAUCUACUUUUUCGUGGGGGAUAACGUAGGGAAACUUCCGCUAAUACCGCAUACGACCUACGGGUGAAAGCAGGGGAUCUUCGGACCUUGCGCGAUUGAAUGAGCCGAUGUCGGAUUAGCUAGUUGGCGGGGUAAAGGCCCACCAAGGCGACGAUCCGUAGCUGGUCUGAGAGGAUGAUCAGCCACACUGGAACUGAGACACGGUCCAGACUCCUACGGGAGGCAGCAGUGGGGAAUAUUGGGCAAUGGGCGCAAGCCUGAUCCAGCCAUACCGCGUGGGUGAAGAAGGCCUUCGGGUUGUAAAGCCCUUUUGUUGGGAAAGAAAAGCAGCAGGUUAAUACCCCGCUGUUCUGACGUUACCCAAAGAAUAAGCACCGGCUAACUUCGUG